rnacentral:lncRNA from 1 species
AGAAAAAACAAUAAUUCAAAAAAAGUCUACAAAAAGUUUUACAUUUUUUUACAGUAACAUUAUACAAAGUUAUUUACAAAAACCAAUCUACCAAAAAGUAUUUCAACAAAAUAUGAUAAAAUUGCAUUUUUUUUACAGUAAUAUUAUACAAAAUUCAAGUAGGUUACUGUAAUUCAAAAAGACGGCAGCAACACCUUUGAUUCUUUGGGCAUAAGUUUUGUCCUCUAUACACCUGAAUGUGCAGAAUAGUAGAAUUAAAAUGUUAUUAGAAUAUAUAAAACAAGAGUAUAUAGAACAAGAGCCAAUAUAAACAUACUAGUGAAUCAAUAAAAAUAAAAAUAAAAAUUUAAACAGCAGUAAACAAAUGUUUCAGAGAAAAAUAGGCAGGUUAUUUUACAGUAAGAUAAAGCAUAUUUGAUUCUUUCCCUUUCCAUCAAUAAAAAUUUCAACAGCAGACAAUUGUUUCAGAAAAAUAGGCUUCAUUAUUUUGCAGUAAGAUAAAACAUAUUUGAUUCCUUCCCUUUCAAUCAAUAUACAUCUAUUUGAAACCCUAAAAUCCCCUAUAUAAAAGGAUAAAAAACAAACAGCACCAAGGAGGAGAAUGGCAUAAAAAUCAUAGAGAUAGAAGAAAACCAGAAUCGAAAAAUCAAAUAUCAGUAGUCAAACAUCUUCAAAAUAUUCGUCAUACCAAAAUCCCACAAACAACAAAGCCUCACUCAAACAAAAAACUUCUCGUUAUCACAAAAGAAAAAAUUCAGAGUACCUGAAGUCGGCUUUAGUUUUCUCAAAUCGCGUUUCGAUCCAAGGUAGGUACUUAUCUUUACUUACUGUAUGAUAUUUUCGAUUGUCGUUUCUUGUU